GGGGAAUAUUGCGCAAUGGGCGAAAGCCUGACGCAGCAACGCCGCGUGCGGGAUGAAGGCCUUCGGGUUGUAAACCGCUUUCGGCAGGGACGAAAUUGACGGUACCUGCAGAAGAAGCCCCGGCCAACUACGUGCCAGCAGCCGCGGUAACACGUAGGGGGCGAGCGUUGUCCGGAUUUAUUGGGCGUAAAGAGCUCGUAGGCGGCUCGGUAAGUCGGCUGUGAAAGCUCCAGGCUCAACCUGGAGAGGCCAGUCGAUACUGCUGUGGCUAGAGUCCGGUAGGGGAGUGUGGAAUUCCUGGUGUAGCGGUGGAAUGCGCAGAUAUCAGGAGGAACACCAAUGGCGAAGGCAGCACUCUGGGCCGGUACUGACGCUGAGGAGCGAAAGCGUGGGUAGCAAAC
rnacentral:rRNA from 1 species